UGGGUGACCCUGCCCCCCGGAAUGGGGAAGUAACGCUGCGAAAGCAGCGCUAAUACCGCAUACGCUCCCAGCGUCAAGUUGGGAGGAAGCUGCGGCGCUCGGGGAGGGGCCUGCGGCCGAUUAGCUAGUCGGUGGGGUAAUGGCCUACCGAGGCCACGAUCGGUAGCUGAUCUGAGAGGAUGAUCAGCCACACUGGGACUGAGACACGGCCCAG
rnacentral:rRNA from 1 species